AUUGAACGCUGGCGGCAGGCCUAACACAUGCAAGUCGAACGAGUGGCGGACGGGUGAGUAAUGUCUGGGAAACUGCCCGAUGGAGGGGGAUAACUACUGGAAACGGUAGCUAAUACCUCAUACCAUCGGAUGUGCCCAGAUGGGAUUAGCUAGUAGGUGGGGUAACGGCUCACCUAGGCGACGAUCCCUAGCUGGUCUGAGAGGAUGACCAGAAAAACUGGAACUGGGACACGGGCCAGACUCGUACGGGAGGAAGAAGUGGGGAAUAUUGGACAAUGGGCGCAAGCCGGAUGCAGCAAUGCGGCGUGUAGGAAGAGGGCCUUCGGGUUGUAAAGUACGUUCAGCGAGGAGGCGUUACUCGCAGAAGAAGCACCGGCUAACUCCGUGCCAGCAGCCGCGGUAAUAC
rnacentral:rRNA from 1 species